rnacentral:rRNA from 1 species
AUUAAACGCUGGCGGCAUGCCUUACACAUGCAAGUCGAACGGCAGCACGGGGGCAACCCUGGUGGCGAGUGGCGGACGGGUGAGUAAAGCAUCGGAACGUAUCCUGGAGUGGGGGAUAACGUAGCGAAAGUUACGCUAAUACCGCAUAUUCUGUGAGCAGGAAAGCAGGGGAUCGCAAGACCUUGCGCUCUGGGAGCGGCCGAUGUCGGAUUAGCUAGUUGUGGGUAAAGGCCUACCAAGGCGACGAUCCGUAGCGGGUCUGAGAGGAUGAUCCGCCACACUGGGACUGAGACACGGCCCAGACUCCUACGGGAGGCAGCAGUGGGGAAUUUU